AUGUUCCGGCCCAGAAGCCCGGCGCAAGGCGAAGAAGACUUCGUCAGAAACGUCGACAGUGUGCUACGCCAGCUCAGUCCCACCGACCCCAGGGACAAGUUCGCGCUCGAGUUCAGGUUCAUUCAAUCCAAAGUGGAGUGCCAUGUCGACCAAUGGGUCGCCUUCUGCGCGGCGUCGACGGCGAAGGACAUUGUGUUCGAUUUUAAUCCGGGGUCAUGGGGCACCUACUGGUUCAGCUUCCCACUGAAGCAUUUCAGAAAUGGUUCUCCUGCCAUCAGGUCUCUACACCUCAUGUCUGUCGACCUGUACCCGCCGGUGGUGCCGCCUGAUUUCCGCGGCUUCACAAACCUAAGAGAGCUCAAGCUCGACUCCGUGCUAGGAGAUAUCCAUUGCCUGCUGCUGCCGGCCUUCUCUGUCCUCGAGUGGCUAAGCAUCACACGCUGCACCCUCCACAGCUUCAGUACAUCCCAGCCGCUGGGUCGGCUGCGUUACAUGUGUGUCCAGUACUGUCAUAUGCACGAGCUUGAGGUGCAAGCUCCGAACCUUGCUAAGUUCGAGUUUGCCAGCUUUGAGGUCCAUCCGGUGUUUGUGCUCGAUGAAUGCCUAGACAUACAAGAGGUGACUGUCACGGUGCUAACAGAGGAGGAUGUUUUCGACUACGCCUUUGCAAAGCUUCCUGCUGGCGGUAUGUCGUAUGCACGGAAGCUCUCGAUGCGAAUUGCUAUUGAUACCCAGGUGCUUCAAUUUGCAGGAUGCCCCAGCAGCUUCAUCAACCUGAAGCAUCUUAUAUUGACCAUGCAUGUCCGUGUACGUUAUGACUCUACCAGUGGCAUCCUUCGUUUGGCUUCCCUUUUGGAGUUGGCCCCUGUUCUGGAACAACUGGAACUGCAUAUGGAAUGUCAGUACAGUGAGGGGGUGGAGAACAUGUGGCUGAAGGAGUGGCCCCUGCCCAUUCAGCCACACGAUCAUCUGAAGACGGUCCACAUGAGCGGAGUCUACGGCAACAUCGACCUACUCAAUCUGGCGCUGCACUUUGCUCGAUGCGCCAUGGUGCUGGAGCGCAUGGUGAUUGGCCCGAUGGUGAAGAAGAACUACGUGAUGACUCGUGACUCACUGGAGGAGGGCCAACAAAUGGCCAGGGAGCACCUUAGGGGAAAGGGGUUUGACGGCAUUCUCACCUUCUUGUGA
rnacentral:rRNA from 1 species